rnacentral:rRNA from 1 species
AUUGAACGCUGGCGGCAGGCUUAACACAUGCAAGUCGAGCGGAGAGAGGUAGCUUGCUACUGAUCUUAGCGGCGGACGGGUGAGUAAUGCUUAGGAAUCUGCCUAUUAGUGGGGAACAACAUUUCGAAAGGAAUGCUAAUACCGCAUACGUCCUACGGGAGAAAGCAGGGGAUCUUCGGACCUUGCGCUAAUAGAUGAGCCUAAGUCGGAUUAGCUGGUUGGUGGGGUAAAGGCCUACCAAGGCGACGAUCUGUAGCGGGUCUGAGAGGAUGAUCCGCCACACUGGGACUGAGACACGGCCCAGACUCCUACGGGAGGCAGCAGUGGGGAAUAUUGGACAAUGGGCGGAAGCCUGAUCCAGCCAUGCCGCGUGUGUGAAGAAGGCCUUUUGGUUGUAAAGCACUUUAAGCGAGGAGGAGGCUACCUGGAUUAAUACUCUAGGAUAGUGGACGUUACUCGCAGAAUAAGCACCGGCUAACUCUGUGCCAGCCGCCGCCGUAAAAC